GGACCAUUUCUACAGCAGCAGCUCAAGCACCCUCCUUUCACCUUCCACUUCACAAGAGCAGUCAGCCACCAUGCCCAGGAUGUCUAAGCAGCGAUGACUCACCUGUUGACUGUAUGACUGCCCAAUAGCCAGCAGAACUGCCAAGUCCCACGCAGAUGGUGGCUGAAGAGAAUUCCAAGGUAUGUAAUGCAAAAUUUGCAAGUCUU
rnacentral:lncRNA from 1 species